rnacentral:rRNA from 1 species
AACAGGCUUAUCUCCCCCAAGAGUCCACAUCGACGGGGAGGUUUGGCACCUCGAUGUAGGCGCAUCACAUCCUGGGGAUGUAGUAGUCCCUAAGGGUUGGGCUGGUCGCCCAUUAAAGUGGUACGCGGGGUGGGUUCAGAACGUCGUGAGACAGUUCGGUCCCUAUCCGGCGCAGGCGUAGGAAAUUUGAGAAGACCUGUCCUUAGUACGAGAGGACCGGGAUGGACGUACCUCUGGUGUACCAGUUGUCCUGCCAAGGGCAUGGCUGGGUAGCUAUGUGCGGAAUGGAUAAGCGCU